ensembl:lincRNA
CAAAACGAAACCCAGUACUCCACCUUACUCGCUCAAACUAGUAAAACCACUUAUUGAAAAACAUCCACAACAAACUCAACAUGUAAUUCUCUCAGCGCCAGUGUGUAAAACGCAGGACGACAGCUUCACAGAGGCAGGUCCCGACACCGAGUAUCGGCUCCAGGAGUUCUCAGCCCGGGAAUGUUACGAAAUAAAUGGCAGAAAGGAACCACUGUGCACGCUUGACCGUUCAUCAGAGCACUGCGCCAUCUCGUCCACACACGUCAAGUGGUGCUCCAGCGUUCAGCUGCUCUGCUUGCACCGUGUUCCCACAGAAGUGAUGGAAGGUGAGACCCUGCUGAUCCUUCUGCCUUUGCCUGCUGGGCAGCUUCCUUCUUCAUACUGCGCCUGCUCUGUUUUUCACCACACCGGUUUUGCCUGCAUCUGGGGUGCUGACUGUUUUUAACCAAUGCCACGCAGACAAACAAUGUUGACAGCAACACAAGAGGAUCUUAUAAGCCUGAAGGCUUGUAGGCCGAAUUGACGUGCCUCGUCACUCACAAUGAGAAGGCUCAUUCAAGGACACCUGACAGGAUUAAGGCACGGGACACAUCACCUCACACUGACUGCAGUGAUUCAUCCCUGCUCCUUUUUCACUGUUGUGAGUACUGAGGCUCGGAAGAGACUCAUGCAGAAUGCACUGCAGCUAUUUCCAGACUUGCCCUUGGAUUGUGAGAAAAUCUAGAAGACCCAUUUCAGAUGGUCUUCCAGAGAGCCCCACUAGACAAUAGUGAGGUCGACCUGUAACUACCACAUGUUCUUGCUUUCAGAAGCAGUCAACAUCUCACUAUCACCUUUGCUCCUUCUUCUUCAGGUGCCCCAGCCAGGGAUCAAGAGAGUAAGUAAUGAGCUCUCUUUUGGUAAUUAAACCCAGAAUCACAUCUGAAUUGAAAGAUGCAAUGGAAAAGCGCAGCACCAAUGGUGUAAUAUUACAAAUCUAGUUCCAAUUCAAGCCAUUUUCCAGUUACCAUAAUCCAUUACUAGCACAAUGGCUUACUGUAUUUUUUAAAACUCCACUGUUGUAGAAAGUGCAGAUCAAACUAUGACACUAAACUGAGGUCCAGAUGUAAUGUUUAAUGUGUUCACUAAAACUUCCAUGUCAAUGCUACCAGACCCCCUGACAUUACCACUUGUAGUUCUAGUAAGAGAGAUGAUAUUCAGGAAAUGAAACACAGCAUGUCUAAUCACUGGACAAGGAUUCUUAAAACAAUUCGUUUUUCCUUCUUAGGAUCGUCUAAAUCAAUCUGGAAUCAGAGAUAUUUCCUUCCGUUCAGGUGUUGAGUUAUACAACAUGCUGCACCUGUCAGUGUAUCUAGGUUCUCUGCCCUGAGCUCACUUGUGAAUUCUUCCAGGUAUAUCCUUUGAGAAGGAGUUUAAUGCCACCCAACCAGGAAAAGGUAAGAGUUCUGUCUCACUUAUUUCUGAACUGAGGCAAAGAAAAAGACUACCUACCUAUACAAAAAGCACACUUCACAUUCAAGAAAAAUAAUUUAAAAAAUGUUCAUUAAUAAGAUGCAGCACAAACUACAGCUAUAAGAUGCUCUUGAAUGAUGGAAGACAA